GGGGCUGUAGCUUAGUGGUAGAGCGCCCGUCUCUCAUGUGUGGGACACUAGGUUCGAUCCUCAGCACCA
rnacentral:tRNA from 1 species